AAAAAAAACACAAGCAAGAAGCUCUUAGGUUUGUAACACAUUGGAAAACCGGGGGAGUACCCCCGCCUCGUCCGAUCUCUGUGCCCCGCGAGGGCCUUCCGGGUUUUAGAGCGAGCCUCUCGCUAUUCGCAAUGCCCCUCACCUCCUUCGGGUUUAGGGUCCGAGGAGUCCGAGCAAAUAAUUCUCCCCCUGGGCCGUAGGGGGUGUCAGGGUGAGAGUUGGGGGCAUUUCUCAAGAAGCAAAACCAUCCCUCCCACCCCGGCUUCGGUAGCUGGGCCGGAGUCCGGGUUGAGAGCAAAAAUCCCGGUUGGUAUAGGCAAAGAGGAUUCCGGGGCGAAGUCGGAGCCGGGAGACCGCGCUUCGAGCAUCUCCCCUUCGGUCUCUGCCUCCUGUCCCCUGCCUGCUCCCCGUUUAAUUUUUUUUUUUUUUUUUUUUUGCCCCCUCUCCUUUAAUCUAAUUUCUUCCAACUCCACCUUUGUUGUUAACCGGCGUCACGCCCGGACUAGCCAAUCCCCGCCACGCAAUCAGCUUGUCAAAAAGGCUCGGCCAGCCCUGGGAAAACAGGCCGCGGGCACUGCCCCCCCCAACCCUACCCCCCGUCCUCCGCACGGCGGCGGCGGCGGCGGGGAGCCGCGAGAGGAGCCUUGCACCCCGGCCUCGCCGCCCGAGCCGCAGCGGGGCAGCCGCCUCGUAGGUUUCCGCUCUCCACCAUCCCGCGGGCCAGGGAUUUUAGGGCCUGGGCGGGGAUCGAAAGGCCUGGGCGGGACCACCAUCUACCCUCCCACUGCCGUCGGCUGUGGUUGUCUGUCUCUGUCUCUCCUCCUCCGAGGAAGGUUCAUCUGGACGCAGGAAGCCAGAAGCCAGUCUGAAGAACGCCUGCUUCCAAUAGGCGAGCCUACGGUUUGGGCCAUCGCUACGGAGGCAGAGCCAUUACUCCCGGGUCCCGGAAUGCCAGUCUACCACACCAACACUGCUACGGCCCACAUCUCGGCCAGCUGGGUCACCGGCCCCUUUGGACUCUCCCCUGGCACACAGCCUUCUCCAUCCUCACACAACAGUCUCGCUGCUGCUGUAAUUCCUCUUGUCUCCUGGGAGAAAUGAGAUUCCUUUCCCAGGACUUCCAUAGCCCACAUCUGCCACGUUUCACAAACAGGGAGGAAAAUCCUGUCAAGAUCUGGUGUGUCCGGAUUUUUCAGUGGGUAGGGCAUGUAGGAGGGGCCGAUUUACCUUGAUGCUAAUGAAGCUUAAGCUUCAGGUCUCCUCAUUGCAGGGCCUGUUCAAGGCCCUGUCCUUAAUGUUGAUUCAUCAUUUGGUAUUAUUUUUGAGUCUCCCCCUCCCCUCCAAUUGUACAAGUUUCAGCCCCACAAACCCAGCUCUGCCCUUGGAACCUAUAGAGAACAUUUUGUGUAGGACCAAGACAUCUCACACUGCACUUGGAACCUGCAGGGACUGACUUUCUUGUUUUGACUGGGAAACAGCAAAGGGUUUGGAGUCAGAAGUCCCAGCUUCCGAGCUUCUCAGCUUCCCAACCUUCUUAACAGUGAGCUGGAGGGUCGAGUGAGAUGAUGUACGUAAAACUGUAAAAUACUCCACAAUGUCACUUGCGAUGUUUAACAAUGAGACUUAGACCCCAAGAAAGUUCCAAGUCUUCCACACACAGAUCUGCAGUCCAGGUGUCCUGGCUCCUGGCCCUGAACUUCUUGGCUGGGCGAAGGGGCCUUUCGGUAAAGGGAUUUGGAAUAAAACAGGAUGAACAUGAAUAAUAAGAAUGCUAGGAUUUCCAGUACUAGGUUGAAAAGCAGUGGUGAGAGAGAACAUACCUACCUUGUUCCUGAUCUUAGUGGGAAAGUGUCAAGAUACUCACCAUUAAGUAUGUUAGCUGUACCUUGUUUGUUGAU